rnacentral:rRNA from 1 species
UACGUAGGGUGCGAGCGUUAAUCGGAUUUACUGGGCGUAAAGCGUGCGUAGGCGGUUUCGCAAGUCCGCUGUGAAAGCCCCGGGCUUAACCUGGGAAUGGCAGUGGAAACUAUGGGACUUGAAUCUGGCAGAGGGUGGUGGAAUGCCACGUGUAGCGGUGAAAUGCGUAGAUAUUUGGCGGAACACCGAUGGCGAAGGCAGCCCCCUGGGCCAAGAUUGACGCUCAGGCACGAAAGCGUGGGGAGCAAACAGG